UACAGCCAUAUCACAUUGAAACCCCUGUUCUUGUACAGUCUCCUAAGUUAAGCAGCAUCAAGCCAGCUCAGUACUUAAAUGGGUAACCGCAUGAGAAUACCAGGUGCUGUAAG